CGCGUAUAGAAUCUACCUUUUACAGGGGGAUAGCCUUUAGAAAUGAAGAUUAAUAUCCCAUAGUAUUGCGAAGUGGCAUCACUUUGUAAUUAAAGAUUUAUCGGUAAAAGAUGACUAUGCGUCCUAUUAGUUAGUUGGUAAGGUAACGGCUUACCAAGACUUCGAUAGGUAGGGGUCCUGAGAGGGAGAUCCCCCACACUGGUACUGAGACACGGACCAGACUCCUACGGGAGGCAGCAGUGAGGAAUAUUGGGCAAUGGAGGUAACUCUGACCCAGCCAUGCCGCGUGCAGGAAGACUG
rnacentral:rRNA from 1 species